rnacentral:lncRNA from 1 species
UAUAAACAAACACACAAGAGAAGAAAAAAAUGAAAUUUUUUGCCAACGUAACUCUACUUUUAUUACAAAGCUUCUUGUUUCCUCUUUACAGUUCAUCUCUUCAUCAAACUUCUCCAGAUGAUUCAUCUCCAUUUCCUUCUGAUUUCCUCUUUGGCACAUCAUCUUCUGCUUAUCAGGUACUUCCCUUUUCUUCUUUUCGUAUUUUCCAAUUUUGAAAAUUCUUUUAUUUUUUGCUUUAUACUUUUGUGAUGUUUUUUAUCUUGUAUGUAUUCAGUAUGAAGGUGCGUACUUAACCGAUGGAAAAGGUUUGAACAAUUGGGAUGUCUUUAGCCAUGAAAACCCUGGUAUGCAUGUGCUUAUUUGGAAUCGUUUUGCAUAUAUUCGAUCUAAAGAAAAGUAGGAACUAAACUAAUUUUUUUCACAAAAAAAUAAUUUUUAUAGGAAAAAGAAAGAAACUAAACUACCUAGUCCUUCGAUUUUGAUUUAGUUUUUUUUUUUUUGGCAAAUAUGUUUUGGUUUAAAUUAGCUACACGAACCAUUUCUAAAAUAAAAUAGUGAUGGGGUUCAAAUUUUGUUCGAUUUCUCAUGUGUUGUUUAUAUGUUAUUUUGUAUCUUCGACGGUCCGUAGAAAAUAUGGACGGAAGCAAAUUAUAAUUAUGGACCUGUUAAUUAAAAAUAUAACACACAUAAACUAAUUUUAAAAAGGUUUGAACCGCUCUCACCUUUCAUUAGCAGUAUAUCAUGUUUCACCAACUAUGCUACUGAAGAUUUUAUGCAAAACAUGGCCGAAAUUUUCGUUAUUAUAAACCGGCCGGAAGUAUGUUUCUGCCGCUUCUGCCCAGGGCCGCCAUAUACGUUUACGUAUGGACGCAUAGCAUAUUUAAAUUUACUGAUAGUUACAAUUAUAUUAUAAUUUCUGUCGGCGUUAUCGUUUUUUUAAAUCAGGUGUCUAUUCCUUUUUUGUGCACCUUUUUGUGUGCACUAACCCGUGUUUCUUCCAU